rnacentral:lncRNA from 1 species
AUGUUUGAACUCCUUGUCCUUCCUCUGCCUGAGUGGUGGGACUACAGACAAGCAAGUGCCAUCCUGUUAGUGAGAGCAGUUGUUUGGGAGCUUGCUUGUGACUGCUGGAGACUGUAUCCAGGGCCUGUGCAUUACAGGGAAGUCCAUCCUCAGGAUUUAAAAUGCAAGACUAAAAGAUGCACUUGGAGGCACAGCAUGCUUGAGUCUUACCCUACCACUCACUGA